rnacentral:rRNA from 1 species
AACGCGAAGAACCUUACCCAGGCUUGACAUCCUUGGAAUUUUGCCGAAAGGCGAGAGUGCUUUAUUGAGCCAAGUGACAGGUGUUGCAUGGCCGUCGUCAGCUCGUGUCGUGAGAUGUUUGGUUAAGUCCAUCAACGAGCGCAACCCUUAUAGUUAGUUGAAUUUUUCUAGCUAGACUGCCCUGGCAACAGGGAGGAAGGAGGGGAUGAUGUCAGGUCAGUAUUACCCUUACGUCUGGGGCUACAAACACGCUACAAUGGCCGGUACAAAGGGCAGCCAAGUCGCAAGACGGAGCAAAUCCCAUCAAAGCCGGUCUCAGUUCGGAUAGCAGGCUGAAACCCGCCUGCUUGAAGUCGGAAUCGCUAGUAACGGUAGGUCAGCACACUACCGUGAAUACGUUCCCGGGCCUUGUA